GACGAACGCUGGCGGCGUGCUUAACACAUGCGAGUCGAGCGGAAAGGCCCUUCGGGGUCCUCGAGCGGCGAACGGGUGAGUAACACGUGAGUAACCUGCCCCAGACUUUGGGAUAACCCUCGGAAACGGGGGCUAAUACCGGAUACGACACAGCUUCGCAUGGGGUCUGUGUGGAAAGUUUUUCGGUUUGGGAUGGGCUCGCGGCCUAUCAGCUUGUUGGUGGGGUGAUGGCCUACCAAGGCGACGACGGGUAGCCGGCCUGAGAGGGCGACCGGCCACACUGGGACUGAGACACGGCCCAGACUCCUACGGGAGGCAGCAGUGGGGAAUAUUGCACAAUGGGCGGAAGCCUGAUGCAGCGACGCCGCGUGAGGGAUGACGGCCUUCGGGUUGUAAACCUCUUUCAGCAGGGACGAAGCGUAAGUGACGGUACCUGCAGAAGAAGCGCCGGCCAACUACGUG
rnacentral:rRNA from 1 species